rnacentral:lncRNA from 1 species
UUCUAUUAACAUCAGUUAAAAGGUCCCAGAUUUUAUGAAAGUGUAUUUUUCCCCUUGUUCUAUAAGGAGGCCUACUGUUUUGUAUUUAAAUUUAGCUGUUGCAAGAUUCUGUUCUUGUAUAAAUCAAAUAGGUGAGACUGCAGAAGCUUCAGUCCCAUAUAUAAACGUUCAUGUCAUUUUAGAGGAUUAUAUGGUUGUCUCCAGAGAAAUUAACUUACAUUAUCAAAAAAUUCUUUGUCUAAUAUAUUGGAGUCUUUAAAAGUGUUGAAGAAUAAAAUAUUAAUUAGAACAACUUCAAAUGCUAAGGUGAUGUUUUACCGGGACUUAAUUAAAUACAACUUUUUCCUUUCGAAAAAGACUGUUCACAUUUGCUUCCAGGUGUAAUUAUUGCUUUCAUUCCUUACCCCCCUCAAGCAAAUGUGAAAAGUAUACUGACCUAAGAUUCUCAUUAGUUUUAGUUCUUAAAACGAAUAGUAAAUGAUUUCACAGCGUAAAAUUUGAUGUUAUUUCUGGAAGCUGGAUGAUAUGGAAGAGUUCAUGUGCCUGGACACACAGUUCCCUGUAAUCCUGCCAUCUAGGGAGAUAAACUCUGUUAACAUUUUGAUGUUGUGUUUUUGCUUAUUUUUCUAUGCAUAGUUAUGCAUUUAUAUUCUCAAAAAUGAAAUCAUAAUGUACAUUGCUUUGUAGUCUGCUCUAUAUAUUGUCAAUAUGUUCCCAUAUUAAAUAUUUUGCUUUUUAGACAGCUGUAGGAUAUUUUAUUUCAUGGGUAUACCAUAACUUUAAGAUUUAUUUCCUAUUCAGCAAUUUGAUUAUGUAUUAUAAUGUAAUCUGUAAAUAGUGAUAUGAUUAACAUCUUAAUCACAUCCAUAGAAAAUGACUUAUUUCCAGAAGAUACCGCUCUAAAAAUGAAAUUGUUAGGUGAAAGUGUUUUUGAGAAUUUUUAUAUAUAUUACUCACUGCAGAGAUCAUGUUCAUUUACAUUCCCAUUAGCAAUAUAUCCAAUGCUCAGAAUUGAAAAUUACUACUUAAAAUCUUUGCAAAUUGAAUAAUUACAGAAAAGGGCUACAUUUAAAAUUUGUAUUUGUUUUUCUUACUUAGUGAAGGUUGUGUUUUUUUUCAUAUUCAUUGGCCAUGCUAUAUUCAUUCUUUUGAGAAUUGCUCAUUCAUAUUUUUUCUGUUGCUUGCUUGGAGAAUUUGCUCUUUUUUUGGCAUAUAAGUUCUUAAGAAUGUCCGUCCUUUGUCAUAUAUUGUAACUUUUUUUAGCCUUAUUUGUCAUUUAACAUAGUUUGUGGUAUUUCAGUAUAGAAGUUGUUUUCUUUAGGAGUCUACCUUUGUGUAUGUGCUUGAAAGUAUUUUUGUAAUCCAAGAAUGGAUAAAUGUCCUUAUUUUCUUCUAGUAUUUUCUUAUUUCACUUUUACACCUAUCUUUAAAAGGAAUUUAAAUUUUGUUUAUAUACAUUAACUAAAUCAGUACAAGUUUGGGGUGAAAAGGAAAUUUUUAAUCCAUCUCAAAUGUAUUUGGUUAUAUUAUAUAAGGUAGGGAUUUGAUUUUAUUUCGAAGAAUUUACCAAUUGGUUCAGUAUGUGAAACCACCAUUUCCCCUCUGAUUAGUAAUGCUAUUUUUAUAGAAUAUUAAAUUCUUAUGUGUCUUUUGUGUCUUAGGCCAAUUUCUGGGCCUUCUGGGUUUUUUCUACACUGUCAAUAAUUAUCGCUUUAAUUGGUGUUAAUAUUUGGUAGUACACAGGUUCUCCCUUGUUCUUUUAAAUUUUGUGAAAUAUAACUUACAAAUAAGUACUUAAAACAGAGCUUAAUGGGUAAAGCAACAGCUGUGUAAUCACAAACUAGAUGCAGAGGAGGUCUUGCCAGCACUCCAAAAUCUCUGUGUGUCCCCUCUUGACACUCACUGUUUCCCCCAGAGCUAACUAUCCUGACGUAUGGUAAUUCUCCCUCUGUCCUUUUAAGAAUUAUUUUACCAGUUAUGUGUAUAACAAUAUGGUUUACAUUUUGCUCACUUUUGACUUAUAUAAAAAUAGAAUAAUACUAUA